GUACUUGCUUUGGCAGCACAUAUACUAAACUGGAACAAUAAUGAAAAGAUUGGCAUGGUUCAUUGUCCCUGUGCAAGGGUGACACAAAAUUCAAGAAACAUUCCCUUAAAGG
ensembl:snRNA U6 U6 spliceosomal RNA